UAACCUUUUAGGAGCUAGCCGUCGAAGGUGGGACAAAUGAUUGGGGUGAAGUCGUAACAAGGUAGCCGUAUCGGAAGGUGCGGCUGGAUCACCUCCUUUCUAAGGA
rnacentral:rRNA from 1 species